UACGUAGGGCGCAAGCGUUUGUCCGGAAUUAUUGGGCGUAAAGAGCUCGUAGGCGGCUUGUCACGUCGGAUGUGAAAGCCCGGGGCUUAACCCCGGGUCUGCAUUCGAUACGGGCUAGCUAGAGUGUGGUAGGGGAGAUCGGAAUUCCUGGUGUAGCGGUGAAAUGCGCAGAUAUCAGGAGGAACACCGGUGGCGAAGGCGGAUCUCUGGGCCAUUACUGACGCUGAGGAGCGAAAGCUAGGGGAGCGAACAGG
rnacentral:rRNA from 1 species